rnacentral:lncRNA from 1 species
CUGAAGACCUGGCAAUAGCUCUGGUUCUUCGCACUUGAAGCACCAAAAUUAGAAACAUUAAAAAUAAGAAAAGAAGAAAGAAAAUACAUAGAAACUGAGACGCCAAAUGAUGAGAGCCAUACAACCAAACCCUUGCGUUAAUACUCCCUCUUCCUCUACUCAAAGCAGGAAUAUUGAAGGUGGGAAAAGGAGAGAGAAGUAGGUGGAAAUGUAGGCACCACCACAUGGUGAGAGUGGUGGCUGCUGUGGGUCUUGGCCACUGCCUAAGAGGAUGCAGGUGUGUGGGGCGGUCUUGGCUUGCGUGGGUUCUUCAAAGGAUCCUCGGGGUUGCAAACCUUGACUAAUAUAAAUAGUUAUUAUUGAAUAAAUCCGAUAUUUUUUAUUGUUGACGUUUAACGAGAGAAGCUACCAGAGAAAUAAAACAUAGAGUCAACGGUCAACCCAACUUAAGUUGCCCACCGUAGCAUCACUCUUUUUCACACUCGACGACAAAUACUACAGGGAAACAUAGUGGUGAAAGGGCUUCAAAGCCGCGCCAUCACGCCAUGCUUGGAGAAGGUCAGUGUGCGGGUGGAUUUACUCCCUUCUUGUACGGGUCAGUGCUUGUGGGAGGAGGAUUGGGGUCCCUGGUCGGCGACGAGUUCCCAAGACAAUUCUUUAAACCACCAAACGAAGUAAUAACACAACCGGACACCCCAUCCAAGGUGCCCUUGAUUUGCUCGGAGCAGAUUGACUGCGAUACCAGCAACCAGAACAUGGUGGAAAAGCAAACGAGAGUGACGAGACCUCUUCUUCUAGUAUCAGCAUACGUCAUGCUCCUCAAACCGGCGCCGAAGUACUCCUGCUUAAUUUGCUUCUGUAACAUUAGAAAGGCAACCUGGAGACGAAAUGAAUGGAUAUAUUAGGACAUCGCCUACACAAGCAGUGACAUGGGAGAAGGCGAUUUAGAAGGAGGAGGAAGAGGAGGAGGAGAAUGUGACACUGGCUUACCGUCCCAAAGAGCCACUCUGUGACGAAGACUCCAGAGACAGGUGCGGGAUAGAUAUAGCGUGGAAAAAAAGGGCAGGAAAAGUGAGGUUUGCCUGUUUGCAAGCCCAUUCGCACUCUUCUGCCUAACGCAUAAAUCACAACUGCAAAUAGAAUUAUACCAAACCCAUCCAGCUGAUGACACAGCCUUUUUAUAAAUAAUUUAUACUUUUUACAGUAAAAAAAGUACGUCAAUUGUGUCGUCGCCCCACUAUAAAUGGUAAAUUAUGUAUCUUACAACACUCUCUCUUCCUCUCAAAUAUUAACGACGAACGGAGCAGGAGGAUCCAAUAUUUGUAGAUGAUGUAUCUUACAACACAUCCUCCUCCUUGCGCUCAAAGCAUGAAUAUUAAAAACGGGCUAGGAGAAACAAGCUCCAAGAAAUUAAGAUACUACAUGGUGACAGCGGUGGCGUCGCCUGCUACAGGUCUUGACUUGAGAUGCGGAUUUGCAGGGUGGUGUUGGCUUAGGUGGAUUUCUCACUGCCCCCCUGGUGUUGCACUGGUUUAUACCAGAAGGAGAUAUGUUGCGAUGGGACGUUGCGCUGUCAAUAGUACCCCCGCAAGGUUCUACACUGCGACCAUGUGAGGUGCAGCGAGAUCCAAACGACAGCGGCUGACUGCUAGUGGCGGCGACACCUGCAGCUGCAUGCGCUCCGGCAGACAGUGAGGGAGAAGAAUACUGGGAUGGCCGUGCUCCAUUAUGCCCGCCAAUGUGGAACGUAGAAUGUGGAAAGCACUAGGUGAUGAAGUGUACUGUAAUAUAUUAUUACCGAAGUAACUCUGAGUAGUCGUUCGCCGAAUCUGUACUCAGAUCACAUGGAAUAAGACCAAGGAGUUGACGCUGUCGACAUCAGUUCUCUUCCGUGAUACUGUAGAUCCGAGGUUUGGUGGUGAUAGCUGCCUCCAACACGCAAGCAGGAUGCCAUUCUCUCUUCACAUACACGAGGAGUUUUGAUCCUCUCGGUGGAAUCAUACUUCCGAGUACUCUUAAAUGUUUGCGAGUCUAUACUCGACUAUUUUGUUCCCUUUGGGCCUUAAAUGUUGGCUGCACUUCUUUUAUUUAAAUUAAAUUUAAUUUAGUCAAAGAUGAUUUUACUUAAUAAUCUUAAAUGACUAAAGAUUUGACAUCUUGAAAAGGACAUAGAUGUUUUGAAAAGAUAAAAAAUAUCUUGGAUAUUUUGGAAGAAGGUAAAAUUCUCUUGGAAAAUAUUGUAAUGUCUCAAAAGUUACUAUGUCUAGUUAUCAAAAUAUCUUAUAAAAAAAUAUAUGUUAUCUAGAAAGUUAUAGAGAAUCCUUAAUUUUAUUUUUAAAUCUUUUAUGAAUGUGAUCUUGUAAUCUCAUCUCUUAUAAAUAGAUAAGUGAAUGUCAUUAUGAAGGUAAGUUUGAACAUUUGAAUAAUAAAGUUAGAAUUUUAUCUUCUUCCUCCACCGUACUUUUUUCAUAAUUCCACCAUAUUUCUAACAAAAUAAUAUCAGAGGCAAAUUACCCAAGAUGACUAACAUGCAUUCUCUAUCUCCUGUUUCACUAACAACUAUGAAAAUAUGAGCAUUCGAGAAGUUCGUAUCGCCAUCAACUCAAAGGAACCAUGACCGAUCAUUCAAAAUUUCUAUAAAGGAAUAUAGAAAAUGAAGAAUGUGUAACUCCAAACUUUAAGGGGUGAAUUUGAAGUAUUAAAGAUAAAAGAGGUGGGUCCAUUUUAGACUACUUCAUAAGAGUUUUUGUCAGAAUAAUUAUAAAUUAUCCUUGUAAUUAGUUACCUUUAACAUCCUGGUUCUUAUACUUUAAAAAGUUACAUUGACAUCCCUGUCAGAAUAAUUAUAAAUUAUCCUUGUAAUUAGUUACCUUUAACAUCCUGGUUCUUAUACUUUAAAAAGUUACAUUGACAUCCCUAUAGUAACGAAAGUGAAAUAUCUGGAUUUGUUUACCCUAAUGUCAUUAGUUUUACCAAUAAAAACAUAAAAAUAAAAGAUAAAAAGAUAAUUUUAAUGUUCUAAUUGGUGGCGAUGGAUGGUGUCAGUGGUGGCAGACGACGAUGCCAUUGAGGGCUAUGGGUGGUUAUUGUAGAUGAGGAGAGUGAUGAUGAGAGCUAAGAGUCACUCAACAACUGUGUCGGUAUUGAUAGAAAUGUAAAGCGACCCUUAUCUCUUGUCGCUACUAUCGUCGCUACUCAUAUUGUGAGAAAGAGUGAUAUGGUUAAUAAUUAUUUUCUCAAUAACUAUGAUUGGUAUGGGACUAUAAUUAUUUUCCUGAUAAUUACUUAUGUGUGGUGCGAGACCAUAGGUAAUUUUCAAAUAGAUUUUAUCAUCUUCAUAGUUCGCACCUUGAAACAAGAGUGAAUCUAAUAGUUAUUCUUUUUAGUUUUUAUUAUGUUUUUUUAGUACUAUCUUUCUAUUCCUCUUUCCUUGUUCCUCUAUUAUAAAAAAAAAAAGUACUAUCCUAGAUUAUAUCAUAUUCGAUAUCAAAGUUUUUGGUUUAGUUUCCAUCAUCAAGAUCAACCCAUGUUUUAUAAACUCGAGAUAAGUUUCUAUACAGCGGAAGUGUAUAAUACAAGAUCAAUCUAGCUUCGAUGACUUUGCAAGACGGAAAAGAAAAUAUUAUAAUUUAUUACAUGUCGCAAGUCAAAAACAUUUAGAAGACUUUUGUUUCGCUUCUUUGACUACGCACAUUUUUCCAGUGGAAAAAUAUCCUUAUGCAAAUCAUCAAACACUGUCUUAAAUAACUCAUACGUGUGGUUCUUUUAAUUCUAUGAAUUUUUUCAGAUUUCCAGAACGUUUUUCUCUUGAAUACAAUUCAAAAUAAUAAUAAUAAUAAUUGUUUGAUAUUCCACCAAUUAGUAACACAAGGUUUCAAAUAUAUAUUAAAUGAGAAAAAGUCCCAUCUAAUACUUCUUCGAAACAAAAUUGUAUAGCAAAGUGUUGACCUAUGGGUUUAUUCCUUUUCUGUUAUUGUGUAAUAAUUUUAUGUUUCUUGAUUUAGAAGGAAUGUAGAAAUAGAAUAAGAGUAUGAAAAUGAGAAAGAAAGAAAUAAAUAUUAUUUCAGGUAUGUCUGUUGGGGAUGGAGGAGUAAAGAAAAAACAGAAUACUUAAAAAGAAUCCACUCAAGAAAACUGAUGUAGUAUUUAAAAACAGGAGGAUUGAUAAGAACACUUACAAGAUACCAAAUGCACACACUCUAUCUAUCUUACUUUAUAAAUUACGAUCAUAUUUAUAGGACCUAACAACCACCCUAUAACUACUAGAUUGAUGUAGUUAUUGAAACCACCCUAUAACUAUUAUAUGAUUGAGGUGGUUAUUAAAAUCAUCAUGUAGAUCACUCUCAACAAUGUCAAAUGAGCAAAUUCGAACUGAUUUGAUUGUCAUUUGUUCAACGCCGUGGAUCCAUGAUAGACCUCCCCGCUAAUAACACGGCAUGAUAAUGACUACUCUCUCUAUACGGCGUACAAUAAAUCUUGAGAUAGUAAUCCCAACAUUGAUUCAGGGACAGGAUUUUGCUCGAGUACAAUAAUUACACAUCUCUAUGUUUGUUUCUUAAAAGCUGAGAGGCCAUCGUGCAUGUCAUACUUGGCCGAGGUUAAGGUGCAGGUGGCUGUAUUACGACCCUGUAGGCGGCGGUGCUUACCCGAGGAGGAUUCAUGCCACGGUCCGGCGUCGAAGGAGAACAAGUCUUUAAGCCAGCAGACCCAACAGCGCAACCAGAGAUCACCAGACCUCGCCCCUCGCAGAUGGAGUGUGAUGCCAGCAACCACAACAUGGAGGCGAAGCACAGGAGAGUCACCAGACCUCUUCUUCUACCAUUAGGAUACCACCCCAUGCAUGCGUGCUCCUCGAACCAGCGUUCGCUGCUUGCUGCAGCACUUCUUCUCUUUCGCUUUUAUGAUUUCAGAGAGACAACCUGCAGGAGAGAGUGAACAUAUAGAAGAUUAUAGUAGGUCAUGAGGUCUAAGACAAAGGAAAGAGGAGCGGUAGGAGAGGGAGAUGGUGAUGAAGAAAAACCCGCAAGGCUUCCACGCUUGCCCGCUCGCAGCGUGAUGAUGUACAUAUGUGGAUAAAAAUAGUCGUCUUUGAAACGCUGGCUUUACGAAUUCCAUCACAUUCGAAAACUCGAAAUUCCAACACACAACCGUAAAUGGGACGAUGGAAAUGUGAGGGUCUUAAUUACAGGCGAAGACUUCUGACUUUCCAAGUCACCGCAGAGUUUCAUUGACUUCUUUGAUUCAAUUGUUAGCAAUAGGAAACAAUAAUUUUUUUGAUCUUAACGUGAAUCCAUUUCGUAUCCAAACGAAUCCUCUGUAAUAUUCCUCUUAUUAUUUUCUAUUUCCCUUUUUUUCUUUCUCUCGUGCGGCAGCAGAUCUCUCUCUCUCUCUCUCUUUCUUAUUUUCUCCUUCUCUUCAUCUCUCUUUCUUCUACGGUCACUGCAGAUCCCCCUCUGCCCUUUCUUUCCUCUUCUUCAUUCCCUUCUCCCCCUCUUCUCCUUUCCCCUCUUCUUCUUCUUCUUCUUUCUUUCCCCGUCUUUUCUUCUCAUUUUGCUUCCUCUCUCCUUCUCACAGCCGAGACCUAAAGCCUUUUUCUCCUCUCACCCCUUUCUUCUUCCUACUCUUCCUCUUCUCUUUCCUCCUCCCCUUCUCCUCUUCGUUUUCCUUUCUCUCCCACACGCUCCCACGCAGGCAGCCUCGUGAGAGCUGGGAAGAAAAUCGUUGUGUUUUUCCUUUUUAUCCUUUUUGCAUUUUAGUCACUGCAAUUAUUGUCUUUAAAACUAAGUCCUCAAUGAAAAUUUUGAACCAUUACACUGUUGCCCUUUGUAUAUGUACAUGCACUGCUGAGGGAAUACAGGUAGCUGGGUGAAGUACAUGUACUUCUCCAUGCAUGUUGCGAUUAGGUUUAUGAGGCAAUGCUCUAUUAUGGCGUCGAUGUUGACCGCGAAAUGUGGAACGCGCAGCACUAUGUGUUGAAAAAUACUGAAGCAAAUCUGACUUCAGAUUGGGUUUGGAGUUGGAGUAUAGAUAUGUAGAAGUACCAGAAUACCAUGAUAACACAAUAAUCCAAUUUAUUUUAAUUAUGUCGUACAUGUCAUAGACACAUGAUAGAUCAUGGACGAGAGAGAGAGAGAGAGAGAGAGAGAGAGAGAGAGAGAGAGAGAGAGACGUAGUGGUGGUGGUGGCGGAAGGACUUGAAAGGCCGGCCGUCAUGUUAUGCUUGGUUAAGGCGGAGUUGGUACUGCAAUUGUGGCCGGUUGAUGAGGUUUAGGGUCCGUGACCCUCACAGGAGGAUGACACUUCUUUUUACCACGAGGCGUACUGCAACCCAAUGGACCAUAGCUUAUUUGACGAUGCGCCAACCACAAGCUCGGAUCAAUCGAGUAGUUCAACACUCGGCCGUCGCAAAUGGACUGCGAUGCCAGCAACCAGAACAUGGAGGCAACGAAAGCGAGAACGGCAAGUCCUCUUCUUCUUCUUCUACUAUCAUGAGACGCCAUGCUCCUCACUCGUUCGCUUUUGCUUGUAUAGGUUUGGAAAGGUAGCCUGCAGAAGACAGUAAAUACACAGAAGGUUAUAUCAGGUGGUGAAGUCUAAGGCGAAGGAGGAGGAGUUGAAGGAGCCUAAGGAGCUGGUGAUGAUGGAAACACCUGCUGCAAGGCUCCCACGCUUGCCCACUGUUCGCGACGCGACGAUGAAUGUGGAUAAAUACAUGGCUGGCUCUAUCCUUAUCAGAAGAAUCGUGUGCAACAUUUCAAAGACUUCUCCAGGGGCGUGAGUGAUUGACUGCACCAAUUUUCUUGUGGAAAGUUUUCAUAGUUUAGUCGUCUGCAAGUUCCUACAUACUAUUAGCCACAUAUAGGAUAGUAAUGUUCGGCCUAAACGCGCAGUACGCCGUGCCCCAGUGAAGAUUAUUUCAAGAAGAAGGAGAUUCCAUCGGGAUGCAACAUCAAAUGGGAUGAUCAAUUAGUUGUUGUUGCUGAUGUUUUUGGCAGACUCCUCAAUCCGAAAUUAUUCUUCAAAUGGGAGAUUUUCCUUGGAAUGCAAUAGUGUAAGCAAAUUAAGUUUAAGGAAGAACAUCAGAUAAUACCUUUAAUUUCAUUUUUCGCUUGUAUCGUGAAGAGACAUCAUGGAAAUAUGUGUGAAAAUGAAGGAUUUCAGUUGUCGCUCACGACAUCCGUGCUCUUCCUCCAUUCGAUGGAGCCAUGAGGGUCGUUGGCGAAAGCUGUUGGAGGGAGGAGAAAGGGACGCUGACUUAUUAUUCCACAAAAAUCCAAUUAUUAUGAUGCAAAUUUCAAACGAUUUAAAUUGGAGUCAUAAUUCCGAGCACUCGAAGACUUAGACUCGAGUGUUUGCGUGCCAAAUACGCCAUUGAGACCAUUAGAUCAUCCGCACUUCUUUUCGUGGAAGACUUGGACUUUAGUGGCUAAUUUCCAAUCCUAUAAAUUUAUUAUAAUGAAAGCAGUCUCAGAGACUCGUACGAACAAUCAUGUCAUGGCCAUGAAAAACAAAAAGAUAAUAAAUUAUUUACGUAAUAUUUUUCUCAUCUUUUAAACUCCUUAAGUUUAAGAAAGAGUAAACUUCUCAUUAUCCAUCAUGUAGUUUCUAAAAUCUAAAGGAUUAUCCGUUCAAUACUCUUAAAAAGUCAUUGAGUUAAAAAAGUCAUAUGGGACUAAAUAUAAUCUCUUCUAACUCAGAAUUAGACCUUAGCUUGGCAGUCACAUUGUGACUGUCUUCUGAUCUUAUCUAUAGAUAAUUCUUUUUGCCACUAAUUCAGUUCUUCUGCUGCUGCUGUUGUUGUUGGUUUGUUUUGUGCCUGCUUUGUGCUUAUAAACAAACAUUGGUUCGGAAAUACUAGGAAGGAUUACGCAUUAAAGCUGUAGAUCCAGGUUUCCAUGAAAGUGGAAGUGGGUGAUGUGAUGUCGUGACUUUUCCUCGUUGCUUCUUACGUGGGUAGACAAUGAUAUCCGGUCUUAAAUUUGAACGUUUACCGGAAAGGAGUAGUGCCAUUUCCAUGAAAUAGACUCUAUGCAUUGACGCUGCAGGUCAAGUUUUCAUGAAAGUGAAAGGGAGUGGGUGAUGUGAUGUCGUGACUUUUCUUGGUUGCUUCUUGUGAAAAAAAAUUAUGUGACGUGGACUCGUGUGAAAGAUUUUCGAUCUGUAAUGGAUCAUUUUAACUCUUUGUUGUGUAAUUGUUCAGAGCUUAUAAAGUUUGUUUGUAAUUUGCAUUGUUUAUGAAAACAGUGUUUUCAGAAAUGUUUACUUGUGGAUCCCGAGUGAGACGUUCUCUCUGAUCCGUUUUCUAUUUUGUAGGUCCUAAGGGACCAUGGGAGGUUUCGGAGAGACUGACAUUUACGGAUGAAUACACAAGGGUGCCGCAUAAUUUAAGUAAAUCCAGCUAAGUUCGUAACAGUUCAGUGACAGAGGGAGCUUCGUUGCGGAAGAAGCAGAUCAACGAGAUGUCCUGCUCGUCGGCAAUCAACAACUAGAACCAACAGAAAGUAGAGGAGGAAAUCGAUAACAACAAUUAAUAGAGACAAGGAAUUGCUAGAGAAAGUCUUGCUUGAGGCAAGAGGUUAUGAAAGAAAUUGAUUUUAUUUAUUUAUACAAGCUUAGACGAGUCACUCAAAUCCAUAAUUAAUCUUUAAAUAUUAGAUUUUCAUAUGUGCCUGAUCGAUCUUUUAUCGUGAUCUUCUAUCAUGUUAAUACCUUACUUAUUUUCACCAUAUAUUAUAAUAGAUUAGGAACAAGUUUAUUGGUACGAAAACAAUAAGUUGAGUCAUAUAUUAUCACAUACAAACAGUAAUGAAACUCGAUAAUAAUACUUAUUAAUUUCGUAAGUUAAUUAACGUAAUUAACUAAAAGAAAUUGUAAUACUGAAAAAGAGAAAAAAGGAGCUGUUUUUCGGAAAAGGAAAAUCCUGUGCUGAGCAGAAGUUAAAAGGGUUUUUUUUUUUUAUUGUUGACGUUUAACGAGAAAAUCUAACAGAGAAAUAAAACAUAGAUUCAACGGUCAACCAACUUGAGUUGCCUACCGUAACAUCACUCUUUCUCACACUCGAUGACAAAUACUACCGGGAAACAUAGUGGUGAAAGGGCAUCAAAGCCGCGCCAUCACGCCAUACUUGUAGAAGGUCAGUGUGCGGGUGGAUUUACUCUCUUCUUGUACGGGUCAGUGCUUGUGGGAGGAGGAUUGGCGUUCGUGGUCGGCGACGAGUUCCCAAGACAAUUCUUUGAACCAGUAGACGAAGUAAUAACACAACCGGACGCCCCAUUGAAGGUGCCCUGGAGUCGCCCGGACCAGAUGGACUGCGAUACCAGCAACCAGAACAUGGCGGAAAAGCAAACGAGAGUGACACGACCUCCUCUUCUUCUAGUAUCAGCGUACGUCAUGUUCCUCGAUCCAGCGCCGGGUUUCUGCUGCUUGCCCAAGUACUCCUACUUAAUUUGCUUCUGUAACAUUGGAAAGGCAACCUGGAGACGAGGUGAAUGGAUAUAUUAGGACAUUGCCUACACAAGCAGUGACAUGGGAGAAGGCGAUGUAGAAGGAGGAGGAGGAGGAGGAGAAAGUGACGCUGGCUUACCGUCCCAAAGAGCCACUCUGUGACGAAGACUCCGGAGAUAGGUGCGGGAUAGAUAUAGUGUGGACAAAGUGAGGUUCGCCGGUUUCCAAGUCCAUUGGCACUCGUCUGCCUAACGCAAAAAUCACUGCUGCCAAUGGAAUUAUACCAAACCCAUCCAGCUGAUGACACA